CCAAUAGCGUAUAUUAAAGUUGUUGCAGUUAAAAAGCUCGUAGUUGAAUUUCGGGAUCAGUACGCUGGUCGUGCCUCCGGUACGUACUGGUGUCACUGGUUCCUCCCUUCUGAAGAACCAUCAUGCUAUUAAUUUAGUGUGGUGGGAAAUCAGGACUGUUACUUUGAAAAAAUUAGAGUAUUUAAAGCAGGCUCACGCUUGAAUACAUUAGCAUGGAAUAAUGAAAUAGGACGUUGACCCUAUUUUGUUGGUUUCUAGGAUUGACGUAAUGAUUAAUAGGGAUAGUUGGGGGCAUUAGUAUUCAAUUGUCAGAGGUGAAAUUCUUGGAUUUAUUGAAGACUAACUACUGCGAAAGCAUUUGCCAAGGAUGUUUUCGUUAAUCAAGAACGAAAGUUAGGGGAUCGAAGACGAUCAGAUACCGUCGUAGUCUUAACCAUAAACUAUGCCGACUAGGGAUCGGAUGAUGUUAAUUUUUUUAAUGACUCAUUCGGCGCCUUACG
rnacentral:rRNA from 1 species